rnacentral:rRNA from 1 species
GAGGAAUAUUGCACAAUGGGCGCAAGCCUGAUGCAGCAACGCCGCGUGCGGGACGAAGGCCUUCGGGUCGUAAACCGCUUUUCUGGGGGAAGAGCAAGGACGGCACCUCAGGAAUAAGUCUCGGCUAACUACGUGCCAGCAGCCGCGGUAAAACGUAGGAGGCGAGCGUUAUCCGGAUUUACUGGGCGUAAAGCGCACGCAGGCGGCUCUGUUAGUCGGACGUGAAAGCUCUCGGCUUAACCGGGAGAGGCCGUUCGAUACUGCGGGGCUUGAGGUAGGGAGAGGAAUGCGGAAUUCCCGGUGUAGUGGUGGAAUGCGUAGAUAUCGGGAGGAACACCUGUGGCGAAAGCGGCAUUCUGGCCCUCACCUGACGCUGAGGUGCGAAAGCGUGGGUAGCAAACA